AUUUAUGUUUUAAUGUACGGUUUCGGCCCGUGAUAAGGAGUUUACUCCCAUAAAUU
rnacentral:tRNA from 1 species